CAAUAGCGUAUAUUAAAGUUGUUGCAGUUAAAAAGCUCGUAGUUGGAUUUGUGGCGUACGGUGUGUUCCGGGCACUUGUUGUCUGAGUAACCUGCUGUUGCCAUCCUUGGGUGGAACCUGUGUGGCAUUAGGUUGUCGUGCAGGGGAUGCCCAUCAUUUACUGUGAAAAAAUUAGAGUGUUCAAAGCAGGCUUAUGCCGUUGAAUAUAUUAGCAAGGAAUAAUGAGAUAGGACUUUUUUGCUAUUUUGUUGGUUUGCGCAAAGAGGUAAUGAUUAAUAGGGACAGUUGGGGGUAUUCGUAUUCCAUUGUCAGAGGUGAAAUUCUUGGAUUUUUGGAAGACGAACUACUGCGAAAGCAUUUACCAAGGAUGUUUUCAUUAA
rnacentral:rRNA from 1 species